UCUCCUGGAAACGGGUGGUAAUGCCGGAUGCUCCACAUGAGCGCAUGCGAGUGUGGGAAAGGCUUUUUGCGGCAUGGGAUGGGGUCGCGUCCUAUCAGCUUGUUGGUGGGGUAACGGCCUACCAAGGCGUUGACGGGUAGCCGGCCUGAGAGGGCGACCGGCCACAUUGGGACUGAGAUACGGCCCAGACUCCUACGGGAGGCAGCAGUGGGGAAUAUUGCACAAUGGGCGCAAGCCUGAUGCAGCGACGCCGCGUGCGGGAUGGAGGCCUUCGGGUUGUAAACCGCUUUUGUUCAAGGGCAAGGCACGGUUUCGGCCGUGUUGAGUGGAUUGUUCGAAUAAGCACCGGCUAACUACGUGCCAGCAGCCGCGGUAAUACGUAGGGUGCAAGCGUUAUCCGGAUUUAUUGGGCGUAAAGGGCUCGUAGGCGGUUCGUCGCGUCCGGUGUGAAAGUCCAUCGCUUAACGGUGGAUCCGCGCCGGGUACGGGCGGGCUUGAGUGCGGUAGGGGAGACUGGAAUUCCCGGUGUAACGGUGGAAUGUGUAGAUAUCGGGAAGAACACCA
rnacentral:rRNA from 1 species